rnacentral:rRNA from 1 species
UACGGGGGGAGCAAGCGUUGUUCGGAUUUACUGGGCGUAAAGGGCGCGUAGGCGGUCAGCACAAGUCAGUUGUGAAAUCUCCGAGCUUAACUCGGAAAGGUCAACUGAUACUGUGCGACUAGAGUGCGGAAGGGGCAACUGGAAUUCUUGGUGUAGCGGUGAAAUGCGUAGAUAUCAAGAGGAACACCUGCGGCGAAGGCGGGUUGCUGGGCCGACAGUGACGCUGAGGCGCGAAAGCUAGGGGAGCGAACGGG